rfam:Triticum aestivum genome assembly, contig: Triticum_aestivum_CS42_TGACv1_scaffold_251876_3DL
AAUAUAUUACCUCCACCCCAAAUUAGUUGUCUUAGAUUUGUCUAGAUAAUGGAUGUACCUAACACUAAAACGUGUCUAUAUACAUCCGUAUCUAGACAAAUCUAAGACAACUAAUUCGGGAUGGAGGGAGUAUCAA